AGUGAACGCUGGCGGCGUGCAUAAUACAUGCAAGUCGAAGGAAGUGGCGCACGGGUGAGUGAAAUAUAGCUAAUCUGCCCCUAGCUGGAGGACAAACGUCAGAAAUGACUGCUAAUACUCCAUAGCAAGGGAUGAGACUAUAUCGUAUCAGCUCGUCGAUGUGGUAACGGCGUACCGAGGCUAUGACUAGUAACUGGUCUGUGAGGAUGAGCAGUCAAAUUUGAACUGAGACACGAUCGAAGAUCCUACCGCAAGGAGCGGUAGGGAAUAUUACGCAAUGGGCGAGUCCGUGACGCAGCUACGCCGCGUGAAGGAUGACACUUUGCGAGGCAUAAGCUACUUUUGUUACGGAAGCGGUACCUAACGAAUAAGCACCGGCUAACUCCGUGCCAGCAGCCGCGGUAAUAC
rnacentral:rRNA from 1 species